AGAUUCUGCUCCCCCAUCUCCAGCUGUGAACUGUGGUUGAGGCUGCGCCUAGUUACUUCUCAGCAUUGCUGCCUUACCCGAAUAGAGGAGGACCGGUCUUUGGUCAAGGGUAUACGAGUAGCUGCGCUCCCUUGCUAGAACCUCCAAACAAGCUCUCAAGGUCCAUUUUUUUCUUGCAUCUCAGAAAUACAAUUUAUUUUUGAAAUAUUAGAACUAUGGGUUU
rfam:Mesocricetus auratus contig088743, whole genome shotgun sequence.